GUGCUCGCUUUGGCAGCACAUAUACCACUAAAAUUGGAACUUUGCAGAGAAGAUCAGCAUGGCCUCUGGCAAGGAUGACACACAAAUUCGUGAAGUGUUCCAUAUAAAA
rnacentral:snRNA from 1 species